UGAUAAAAAUUGCGAAGGUUUCAUGGGAAAAAAACUUGAUAUAUAUACAUAAAUGUUCGAUUAAUGCAAGACAUAAUUUAAUUCAAUUUAAAAUUCUACACAGAUUAUAUUAUUCGAAAACUAGAUUG